rnacentral:rRNA from 1 species
GACAGAGGGUGCAAACGUUGUUCGGAAUUACUGGGCGUAAAGCGCGUGUAGGCGGCUAAGUAAGUCGGGCGUGAAAUCCCACGGCUCAACCGUGGAAGUGCACUCGAAACUGCAUAGCUAGAGUCCUGGAGAGGAAGGUGGAAUGCUUGGUGUAGAGGUGAAAUUCGUAGAUAUCAAGCGGAACACCGGUGGCGAAGGCGGCCUUCUGGACAGUGACUGACGCUGAGACGGCGAAAGC